AUUGAACGCUGGCGGAAUGCUUUACACAUGCAAGUCGAACGGCAGCACGGGUGCUUGCACCUGGUGGCGAGUGGCGAACGGGUGAGUAAUGCACCGGAACGUAUCCAAUAACGGGGGAUAACGCACCGAAAGGUGUGCUAAUACCGCAUACGCCCGGAGGGGGAAAGCUGGGGAUCGAAAGAACUCGCGUUACUGGAGCGGCCGAUGCCGGAUUAGCUGGUUGGUGAGGUAAAGGCUCACCAAGGCGACGAUCCGUAGCUGGUCUGAGAGGACCACCAGCCACUCUGGAACUGAUACACGGUCCAGACUCCUACGGGAGGCAUAAGUGGGGAAUUUUGGACAAUGUGCGAAAGCCUGAUGCAGCCAUUCCGGGUGAGUGAAGAAGGCCUUCGGGUUGUAAAGCUCUUUCGCAAGGAAAGAAAACGCAUUUCCUAAUACGAGAUGAGGAUGACGGUACCUUGACAAGAAGCACCGGCUAACUACGUGCCAGCAGCCGCAGUAA
rnacentral:rRNA from 1 species